rnacentral:rRNA from 1 species
AACGAACGCUGGCGGCAUGCCUAACACAUGCAAGUCGAACGAGACCUUCGGGUCUAGUGGCGCACGGGUGCGUAACGCGUGGGAACCUGCCCUUAGGUUCGGAAUAACUCCCCGAAAGGGGUGCUAAUACCGGAUAAUGUCUUCGGACCAAAGAUUUAUCGCCUUUGGAUGGGCCCGCGUUGGAUUAGCUAGUUGGUAGUGUAAAAGCCUACCAAGGCGACGAUCCAUAGCUGGUCGGAGAGGAUGAUCAGCCACACUGGGACUGAGACACGGCCCAGACUCCUACGGGAGGCAGCAGUGGGGAAUAUUGGACAAUGGGCGAAAGCCUGAUCCAGCAAUGCCGCGUGAGUGAUGCAGGCCUUAGGGUUGUAAAGCUCUUUUACCCGGGAUGAUAAUGACAGUACCGGGAGAAUAAGCUCCGGCUAACUCCGUG